rnacentral:rRNA from 1 species
GUGAACGCUGGCGGUAGGCCUAACACCUGCAAGUCGAACGGCAGCACAGUAAGAGCUUGCUCUUACGGGUGGCGAGUGGCGGACGGGUGAGGAAUACAUCGGAAUCUACUUUUUCGUGGGGGAUAACGUAGGGAAACUUACGCUAAUACCGCAUACGACCUACGGGUGAAAGCAGGGGAUCUUCGGACCUUGCGCGAUUGAAUGAGCCGAUGUCGGAUUAGCUAGUUGGCGGGGUAAAGGCCCACCAAGGCGACGAGCCGUAGCUGGUCUGAGAGGAUGAUCGGCCACACUGGAACUGGGACACGGUCCAGACUCCUGCGGGAGGCAGCAGUGGGGAAUAUUGGACAAUGGGCGCAAGCCUGAUCCAGCCAUACCGCGUGGGUGAAGAAGGCCUUCGGGUUGUAAAGCCCUUUUGUUGGGAAAGAAAAGCAGCAGGUUAAUACCCCGCUGUUCUGACGGUACCCAAAGAAUAAGCACCGGCUAACUUCGUG